UACAGAGGUCCCAAGCGUUGUUCGGAUUCACUGGGCGUAAAGGGUGCGUAGGCGGUCGGGUAAGUCUGAUGUGAAAUCUCACAGCUUAACUGUGAAACUGCAUUGGAUACUAUCCGGCUCGAGGAAUGGAGGGGAGACUGGAAUACUUGGUGUAGCAGUGAAAUGCGUAGAUAUCAAGUGGAACACCAGUGGCGAAGGCGGCCAACUGGACAGAUACUGACGCUGAGACACGAAAGCGUGGGGAGCAAACAGG
rnacentral:rRNA from 1 species